rnacentral:rRNA from 1 species
CACGUAGGGCGCAAGCGUUGUCCGGAAUUAUUGGGCGUAAAGAGCUCGUAGGCGGUCUGUUGCGUCCGCUGUGAAAACCCGGGGCUUAACCCUGGGCUGGCAGUGGAUACGGACAGACUAGAGGUAGGUAGGGGGAGAAUGGAAUUCCCGGUGUAGCGGUGAAAUGCGCAGAUAUCGGGAGGAACACCGGUGGCGAAGGCGGUUCUCUGGGCCUUACCUGACGCUGAGGAGCGAAGCGUGGGGAGCGAACAGG